UACGUAGGGUGCAAGCGUUAAUCGGAAUUACUGGGCGUAAAGCGUGCGCAGGCGGCUUUGCAAGACAGAUGUGAAAGCCCCGAGCUUAACUUGGGAAUUGCGCUUGUGACUGGCGUGCUGGAGUGUGGCAGAGGGAGGUGGAAUUCCACGUGUAGCAGUGAAAUGCGUAGAGAUGUGGAGGAACACCGAUGGCGAAGGGCCAGCCUCCUGGGCCGACACUGACGCUCAAGCACGAAAGCGUGGGGAGCAAACAGG
rnacentral:rRNA from 1 species